AAAAAAAAAGUGUUCCGCCAAGUUGUUUAUUUCUUCACUUGGAAACUCAUAUUUGAUGUAUUCAAGAUGUAUUAGAAUGUAUUUCCUCAUCGCCCUAGUUUCGCCGCUCACAACAUGCGCUUUCGAUACUGAAAAUAUAGCACUUCGUAAACCUACCUGGCAAGAACAUCCCUGGCCUGAUCCUUAUUACUAUAAGGGUGAUAAUGCAGUGGAUGGUUUUUACACGAAUCGCUCACUUGCGGGACAUCAAUGUUCAGUGUCAGGAAUCAAUAAAUAUACAGCUACAUGGAGAGUUGACCUGGAGAAUGUGUUCAGCAUCAGUCAUAUCAAUAUCUACUACAGGACUGAUAAUCUGCCAAUUCCAACUGAAAAUGCUAGAAGGAUGGCUGGAUUUUAUUUGUACGUUUCCAAUACAACUUCAAAGGACAACGGCCAUCUCUGUUUCCAUGAAAAUCAAACAAAACAAGAAAUGAUAUUGGAGGACAUAAGUAUCAACUGUUCUGUUUCCGGACGCUACGUCAUCUACUGCAAUGAACGUAAACAGAAUGUUAAGUACCCUGAUUUCUAUUCAAAGUAUGCCUACAACGAACUGUGUGAAGUA